AUUUGGUUGACGUUUCCCCUCCAGGUCUUAUAGAACUCAAUGGUUGUAAUCUAAAUUUAGUGGACAAAGCGGAGAAAAUAGGCAAUAGCAUAAAUAUGGCAAAAUUUGAUGGUGAACUAUCUUGAAAUCGUUAAAUAUCUCUUUAUUUCUUGAAGUGCUCCUUGUUGUAAUAGUUUUUCAAAAGAGGCAUCAUGUCUUCAGUUGGGAGCAAGGCUGCAAAAAAGAAUCAAAAAUGUGUAGAAAAAUGAGCCAAGGAAAGAGCUCAGAAGUUGAAAGAAGAUGAUGUGAUUGAUCAUCUCAAGAAUGAAAGUAAGGAUUCUCAUACAGAAAACACAAAAUUGUUAGAUCCUGUUGAAGAACUGAAAGCAAAACUGCAAGAGGCAAAAGAUAAACAGGUAUUUUAUCAGAACCUUUGAACCAGUAUCAUCAUCCAUUUCACUCCAAAAUUUAUCAACUAGAAUUUAUUUGCAAUUUGUCCUAUUAGCUAAACACAAAAUAACUAUUGACAAUGGAUAAAAAGAAAUCAAUAUUACAAAUAUGAAAUCCAAUUGU